AUUGAACGCUGGCGGCAGGCCUAACACAUGCAAGUCGAGCGGAUGAAGGGAGCUUGCUCCUGGAUUCAGCGGCGGACGGGUGAGUAAUGCCUAGGAAUCUGCCUGAUAGUGGGGGAUAACGUCCGGAAACGGGCGCUAAUACCGCAUACGUCCUGAGGGAGAAAGUGGGGGAUCUUCGGACCUCACGCUAUCAGAUGAGCCUAGGUCGGAUUAGCUAGUUGGUGGGGUAAAGGCCUACCAAGGCGACGAUCCGUAACUGGUCUGCGAGGAUGAUCAGUCACACUGGAACUGAGACACGGUCCAGACUCCUACGGGAGGCAGCAGUGGGGAAUAUUGGACAAUGGGCGAAAGCCUGAUCCAGCCAUGCCGCGUGUGUGAAGAAGGUCUUCGGAUUGUAAAGCACUUUAAGUUGGGAGGAAGGGCAGUAAGUUAAUACCUUGCUGUUUUGACGUUACCAACAGAAUAAGCACCGGCUAACUUCGUG
rnacentral:rRNA from 1 species